UAGAACGCUGAAGAGAGGAGCUUGCUCUUCUUGGAUGAGUUGCGAACGGGUGAGUAACGCGUAGGUAACCUGCCUUGUAGCGGGGGAUAACUAUUGGAAACGAUAGCUAAUACCGCAUAACAAUAGGUGACACAUGUCAUUUAUUUGAAAGGGGCAAUUGCUCCACUACAAGAUGGACCUGCGUUGUAUUAGCUAGUAGGUGAGGUAACGGCUCACCUAGGCGACGAUACAUAGCCGACCUGAGAGGGUGAUCGGCCACACUGGGACUGAGACACGGCCCAGACUCCUACGGGAGGCAGCAGUAGGGAAUCUUCGGCAAUGGGGGCAACCCUGACCGAGCAACGCCGCGUGAGUGAAGAAGGUUUUCGGAUCGUAAAGCUCUGUUGUAAGUCAAGAACGAGUGUGAGAGUGGAAAGUUCACACUGUGACGGUAGCUUACCAGAAAGGGACGGCUAACUACGUGCCAGCAGCCGCGGUAAUACGUAGGUCCCGAGCGUUGUCCGGAUUUAUUGGGCGUAAAGCGAGCGCAGGCGGUUUGAUAAGUCUGAAGUUAAAGGCUGUGGCUCAACCAUAGUUCGCUUUGGAAACUGUCAAACUUGAGUGCAGAAGGGGAGAGUGGAAUUCCAUGUGUAGCGGUGAAAUGCGUAGAUAUAUGGAG
rnacentral:rRNA from 1 species